rnacentral:rRNA from 1 species
GGCGUAGGCGGUCCUUCAAGUCGGAUGUAAAAUCUCCCGGCUCAACUGGGAGAGCCCAUUCGAAACUGCUGGGCUAGAGGAUAGCAGAGGGAGGUGGAAUUCCCGGUGUAGUGGUGAUAUGCGUAGAUAUCGGGAGGAACACCAGUGGCGAAGGCGGCCUCCUGGGCUAUUUCUGACGCUGAGGCCCAAAAGCGUGGGGAGCGAACA